rnacentral:rRNA from 1 species
GGGUCCGAGCUCGCUCUCCGCAGCCCCAAAGAGAAAGCGAGUAUGCGCGAGUCAUCAGCUUGCGUUGAUUACGUCCCUGCCCUUUGUACACACCGCAAAAAAAGCCGCAGUCCCUCCCUCACCUUUUGGCGCAUUGGGAAAAUUUCCCUCCUGGUGCCCCCCGUAAGAAUAAAGNCGUUCACAUUUGUUCUCCUGCAU